CAGAGAGCUGGCUCUCGGGUGACGAGCGGCGGACGGGUGAGUAAUGUCUGGGAAACUGCCUGAUGGAGGGGGAUAACUACUGGAAACGGUAGCUAAUACCGCAUAACGUCGCAAGACCAAAGAGGGGGACCUUCGGGCCUCUUGCCAUCAGAUGUGCCCAGAUGGGAUUAGCUAGUAGGUGGGGUAACGGCUCACCUAGGCGACGAUCCCUAGCUGGUCUGAGAGGAUGACCAGCCACACUGGAACUGAGACACGGUCCAGACUCCUACGGGAGGCAGCAGUGGGGAAUAUUGCACAAUGGGCGCAAGCCUGAUGCAGCCAUGCCGCGUGUAUGAAGAAGGCCUUCGGGUUGUAAAGUACUUUCAGCGGGGAGGAAGGCGAUAAGGUUAAUAACCUUGUCGAUUGACGUUACCCGCAGAAGAAGCACCGGCUAACUCCGUGCCAGCAGCCGCGGUAAUACGGAGGGUGCAAGCGUUAAUCGGAAUUACUGGGCGUAAAGCGCACGCAGGCGGUCUGUCAAGUCGGAUGUGAAAUCCCCGGGCUCAACCUGGGAACUGCAUUCGAAACUGGCAGGCUAGAGUCUUGUAGAGGGGGGUAGAAUUCCAGGUGUAGCGGUGAAAUGCGUAGAGAUCUGGAGGAAUACCGGUGGCGAAGGCGGCCCCCUGGACAAAGACUGACGCUCAGGUGCGAAAGCGUGGGGAGCAAACAGGAUUAGAUACCCUGGUAGUCCACGCCGUAAACGAUGUCGACUUGGAGGUUGUGCCCUUGAGGCGUGGCUUCCGGAGCUAACGCGUUAAGUCGACCGCCUGGGGAGUACGGCCGCAAGGUUAAAACUCAAAUGAAUUGACGGGGGCCCGCACAAGCGGUGGAGCAUGUGGUUUAAUUCGAUGCAACGCGAAGAACCUUACCUACUCUUGACAUCCAGAGAACUUUCCAGAGAUGGAUUGGUGCCUUCGGGAACUCUGAGACAGGUGCUGCAUGGCUGUCGUCAGCUCGUGUUGUGAAAUGUUGGGUUAAGUCCCGCAACGAGCGCAACCCUUAUCCUUUGUUGCCAGCGGUUAGGCCGGGAACUCAAAGGAGACUGCCAGUGAUAAACUGGAGGAAGGUGGGGAUGACGUCAAGUCAUCAUGGCCCUUACGAGUAGGGCUACACACGUGCUACAAUGGCGCAUACAAAGAGAAGCGACCUCGCGAGAGCAAGCGGACCUCAUAAAGUGCGUCGUAGUCCGGAUUGGAGUCUGCAACUCGACUCCAUGAAGUCGGAAUCGCUAGUAAUCGUAGAUCAGAAUGCUACGGUGAAUACGUUCCCGGGCCUUGUACACACCGCCCGUCACACCAUGGGAGUGGGUUGCAAAAGAAGUAGGUAGCUUAACC
rnacentral:rRNA from 1 species